GGGCUCAAUCUCAUGUGGGGGUCGUGCAGAGGGAAGGCGAUCAAUGAUUCUCAUCACUGAUGUUUCUAUCUCUCUCUUCCUCUCUGAAAUUGAUUUUUUUAAAUGUAUUCCAAAAAAAAAAAGGAGUGCAAGCUCUAGAACCAGGUUGCCUGGGUUUGGAGCAUAGCUUUGCUACUCACUAGCUUGUGACUUUGAGCAAGUUUUAAAGUUUCUCUAUGCCUCAGUUUCUUCAUAGUAAAAAAUAGAAUUAAAGUAGUAACAGAGUUGUGAUUAAGAGCUUAUAUUAGUACCAUGUAAACAUGUAUGUGUUUAAUCAGUGUUGUUAUUAACAUUUAGUUUAUAGCAUUAGAGACAUUUUUUACUUGCGUAAUAAUUUUAAUAAUAAAUUAUCUGUUCUAAAUUUUUGCCUAAAAAGAAACAGGCCAUUAAUCCAAUCUGGCAUUGGUACUUGGAAUUACAUUUGCUCAUGCCCCUUCUUCUGUGACCCUGGCGAUUUUCAGUUCCAAUUCGCUGUCUCUUUCUCAUUUUCUCUUAGUGCCAUGGACUGCCCCCGCUGGUUCCAUCUGGAUGUGCUUUUAAAACUACCCCAUCUUCUGUACUAUUGUUUCAAGUUCAACCCUUUCAAAUCAGAGAUCUUUCUGUACCAAAGCUGCAUAUCAGAGGUGUUAAUAUGUGAUAAAACAUGCAUCUUGAAGUAUAUAAAUUAAGGAAAUUGCAUCCACUAUGCCAGACAUGGUGCUAAGCAUUUUAUAACAUCAAAUUCUCAUAACAGCCCUAUGAAUAGGUCCUAUUUUAUUUACCCCAUCAUCCAUUAACUGCAGCUUACACAUAUGACUUACCCAAGGUCAGGAAGAACCGGACUUGGGGAAUGAGGCCUUCUGACCAGAGUUACUGCAUUGCUCUGUUAGAUACCUGGAUCCUAACACAUAAAUUUAUAAAUUUCUCUCUUUGGGGGAGGACAUUGCAUAGCUUCACAUCUUCAACUGCAAAAUGUCUGAACAGUGGGAAAUCAUUGAUUAAGAGAAACUGAGUAUGUGUGAGGUUUAGUAUUUUUUUCAUUGUUUUCCCUUUAUGAUUUUUUUCCUCUGUGAGGGCAGAGACUUUUGUCCAGUGUGUGUAUUUUAUUCACUGCUGUCUCCCCAGCUUCUAGAACAGCGCCUGGCAUGUUGUAGACACCCAGUUCAAACUAAUUGGUUGCUGAAUGAACACAUGAAAAUAUUUUUUCGUUACAAUAACACUUGAUGUAUUUAGGCACGUAAGAAUGUGUCGUGUAAAAGAAUUAAGACUUAGUAUGAACAGGUUUCUGCUGAGAGGACUUCCUGGGUUCCCCGUGCAGAAAUAACACCUCCUUCCUCUCAGCCUGAUCGGUACAGGUUUGUAACUGUCUGCUCCAAAUAAUAGAGAUACAACUCAGUUCCCUAAGCUUCUAAAGAGUUCAUCUUGGAUCCCUCUGUCUGUUAAAUGAGUAAAUGAAUACAUUCUUAGUAUACCUAAUUGUAAGAAAGGUCCCAGGGAAAAAUAAAAGGUCCCAGGGAAAAAUAAAAGGAUUCACUCCUUGAUCAUUUCUGUUUUGUUUUGUUUUGUUUUGUUGUUUUGUUUUGUUUUGUUUUGUUUUCUAGAUAUGUGUCACCAGUCUUAAAGGAAUAAGCUCCAAUUCAUUGAAUAUUUCUUUUUGUAGCACCUUGGUAAUUAAGUUCAUUCCUCUUCCUGGAGAGGAACAAUAUCUGAGCUAGCUGGUAAUUGCCUUUGUCUUUAUUUGUAAUCUUUUAGAAAACAAAUACACCAGCUCUUUCUUGAAUAAUCGUGAAUUUCUUAUAACAUCUGUUUACUUAAUUU